rnacentral:lncRNA from 1 species
CUCUCAGGCGACUCCCAUCUCCAGACCCAUUCCCAAGGCUCGGCAUUAGAAUAGAAGAGAAAGGAACAAAAAGGAAAGGAGAAUGGAGCAAAAAGGUGAGAAAUAAGAAAAUACAAGAGAAAGAUAAAGGAGAAAUUACAAAAGAGAAGUGUAAAAAUGAAAAAGGGAUAGAAAAAGAGAAAAUACCCUCUAGAAGAUGUAAGAACAAUCGAAAAAAAGGUUGGAGGAAUGACAAGAUCGGAAGAAAUGGUGGAACAAAAUGCUCCACAUCAACUGCAACAUAAAGGCUUUCUCGG